GAGAUUUGCUUCCUAUUUGGGCUCUGCCAUUGACAAAAUGACCUUGGAUGACCAGCAGGAAGGGGAUGACCUUCCUGCUGGGCUCCAAAUACUAUCUGACCAUGAUGAGGUAGGUGGAUGAUAUCAUCUCUGAGGUAGUGUCUCAACAGUGAGAUGUGGGGAUUUUAAACUCCUGUUCUCAGAGCUUGGGUCUGCAGUGUGUGCCAGCUGGGAGCACAAUCACUGUGUCACCUCCCUAGGCUGAUACAUGGGCGUAGGCUCUGCCCUCAUCUGCUAUGCCAAGGGUCAGAGCCACGGCCUGCCAGGAGCCCCCUGGAGCUCCUGGAGCACUGCAUCUGGGACUGCUGGGUUCCUUCAAACUCAGUUCCAGGGAGACCAGGACUGAGAAGAACUGGCUUGCUGAAGGUCCCUCCUGCACCUACGUGGAAGGCCCGAGAGGUCAACUACUGCCCAGGGAUGCAGCCUGGGGCCCAGUGUGGACCUUUGCAUAUCCUGGAGACUGUUACAAUCUGCCUUCAAACCCUCUUACUUCACAGUGUUAUCCAGAAUCCUGUUUUGAUGGCGCCCUGACCCUAGCCCUCAGGAUGGGGCUCACUCAUCCAAAAUCCCAGAGGAAACCAGCACUUGGGGCCUGGUCAUAGAAGAAGAGCCCCAGAUUCAAAUACCAUUACUCCUUUGCAGUUUGGAGGCUGUUUCAAUCAGCCUGCAUAAAGUGCCUGCAUUGUACCCUGCUUGUUAUCUUCAUGCUUUCCUCAUUUAUCCAUCCAGCUGGAGCAAUUUCAGGAGCAUUCCUUGUCAUUCUGUGCAUCAUUUUAAUUUAGUCUUUUUUUUUUUUUUAAUGUAUGCCUGCCUGGCCCCAGCAGUAUAUUUUUCAGAAAGGUGGUUUUGUUUCUAAGGCAACUGAGGGGUCUAUUGUAAUCAAAUAUUGAGCCCCAUUCAAUUGCAAUCUUCUCAUCCUCCCACAGUCUGCUCUGAUUUUUAUGCUGUAUAUUGUGCUGCUUUUCUUCUGCAUCCUCAAUCAGGCAGUCACAUUCAUUUCACUGUAUUGUGCAGAAGCUGCUUAGAAUGCUACUCUAAAUGGCCUAAGAAUAGGCACUAAAAACUUGAUGUCCAUCUCAAAUGCUGAAGUCAAAAUGCACGUGCCCAAUUUCCUUUUUAAAGAACAAAAACCUGGCACAAAAACAGACACUCAGAUCAAUGGAACAGAAUAGAGAACCCAGAAAUGGACCCACAAACGUUUGGCCAACUAAUCUUUGACAAAGCAGGAAGGAAUAUCCAAUGGAAUAAAGACAGUCUCUUUAGCA
rnacentral:lncRNA from 1 species